rnacentral:rRNA from 1 species
CAAGUCGAGGGGUAACAGAGAGUGCUUGCACUCUGCUGACGACCGGCGGCACGGGUGCGUAACGCGUAUACAAUCUACCUUCUUGCUGAGGGAUAGCCCAGAGAAAUUUGGAUUAAGACCUCAUGGUAUCACAUGAUUCGCAUGGAUUAGUGAUUAAAGGUUACGGCAGAAGAUGAGUAUGCGUCCUAUUAGCUAGAUGGUAAGGUAACGGCUUACCCAUGGCAACGAUAGGUAGGGGCCCUGAGAGGGGGAUCCCCCCACCACUGGUACUGAGACACGGACCAGACUCCUACGGGAGGCAGCAGUGAGGAAUAUUGGACAAUGGGCGCAAGCCUGAUCCAGCCAUGCCGCGUGCAGGAAGACUGCCCUAUGGGUUGUAAACUGCUUUUAUACAGGAAGAAACCUUUCCACGUGUGGAGAGCUGACGGUACUGUAAGAAUAAGGAUCGGCUAACUCCGUGCCAGCAGCCGCGGUAAUACGGAGGAUCCAAGCGUUAUCCGGAAUCAUUGGGUUUAAAGGGUCCGUAGGUGGAUUAUUAAGUCAGAGGUGAAAGUCUGCAGCUCAACUGUAGAAUUGCCUUUGAUACUGGUAAUCUUGAGUCAUUAUGAAGUGGUUAGAAUGUGUAGUGUAGCGGUGAAAUGCAUAGAUAUUACACAGAAUACCGAUUGCGAAGGCAGA